rnacentral:lncRNA from 1 species
CCCACUCCUCAGUGGGAGAGCCAGCAAAAUCCCUACUCCUCUGUGGGAGUGUAGCUGAAGCCCUACUCUUCAGUGGGAGAAUCGGCAAAGCCCCCACUCCUCUAUAGGAGUAUAGUCAAAGCCCCCACUCUUUAGAGCGAGAGCUGGCAAAGCUUUUACUCCUUCAUGGGAGUAUAGUCGAAGCCCCCACUGUUCAGUGGGAGCGCAUCCGAAGGCCCCCACUUCUCAAUGGGAC